rnacentral:lncRNA from 1 species
AUGAUAGCAACAUUUGAUGUUGCUGUGAGGCAAGGGAAAAGGCUAGCUGACUUCCCACAGUCCUUUCCCACCCUAUUUUCCUACGGUUCUGUGUGACUUGCAUCUCCACGCAAGCCUAGAUGUUAAAAGGAAGGAAGCCAGCUCUCUGCAAAGGAUGGGCUUGGUCCAGCAACGAGCACAUCCCUGUGAAGGUGAGAGAACAUGAGUGCUGGGGAUCCUCUGCCUCUGAGACCACCUUUGUGUGAACAAGAACUGGAGCUUUCCUGCAAACAAAGUAUCCUUCUGCGUCCCUUUGUGGCUGGGCUUUGGUUCUGCGAUACUGAAUCGUCUCCCUGCUCCCCGGCAGUUCUGCCAGCAGCAACCUGCCGGACACAGCAGCCUGACGAAGCAGGGGCGCUGGGAGGAAAGCAGGGAGCGCGCACGCUGCAGACCCGCCAGCAGCCAGCCCGCGAGGAUCCCAGCCUCCCCGCUUUCUCGUGCUGCAACAAUUUCAUACUGAUGGUUUUCAUCUGCUGUGCCUGUAUAUUUCAAAUGCACUCUAAGCAGCAAAGGGAUUACUUUGCAGGACUUUUGGUUGGUGUUGGUACAGUUGAGGCAGGCAAAGUAAAACUUUUCUGA